UUCUGCAAUUUAGAAUACCCAAUUAGGGAUAUGCAUUGUUGAAUUAGGGAUUUGGAUUUGUAUAACAAAUCCCUAAUUAGGGAUGUGUAUUGUCGAAUCCCUAGAUGGGGAUUUGCAUUGUUGAAUCCCUUUUUAGUGAUUUGUAGAUGUAGGAUAUCUCUAAACUGACAUCAAUCAAGCAUAUCUUUAAAAUGAUACUGAUCAACUCUAGGUGGUCCAUGUUGAAAUAAGCCAGAUGGGGUAGGUAUAUAGAGUUGCUCAAGCUUUCUUAACUGUGCAUUUGAUUUUUUAGUCUGCGUAGCAUUCUAUAAAUGAUCAAGGAACAGUUGUCCAAAGUCCACCCACAAAGCCUAUAGAGAUAGGUCAGUGGAUGUUGUGGUUUAUGGUCAGAUGAUGGUUCAGACAGGGUGGAGCUUUAGAAAAAAGAGAGUAUAUGGCAUGGUUUUAUAUAUCAUCCUUUGUAAUAGUAAAGAUAUUGUGAUUAUUAUCUACAGGUUUUGUGCCUUGAAGGGUGAGAUGUUAUCAGUUCGGCGGAGAAAAGGAUAUUCACCUGUAUUCUUCUUUUUCAUUUGCAAAUUGACAUGACUCACGAGCCCACCUUUCAUCAACGACAAAAAUUUCUCCAUUCGGCUGAUUUGUGGUUCGCGGCCUACCAAGAUGCUUCUUUUUCUAAGUCUUUAUAUGGAUUGUGAAGGAGGGAAGUGAAGAUUUCACCAUUGAAAGAUAUUCCUAAUGCCAACUCAGGUUAUCGGCUUCAACUUUCUGGAUUAGGAAGGCGUCAAAAAGUUCUCUCAGUUGUAUUUCUGGUGAGAUUUGGUGUUCUAGAGGCUGGAGCCUUUGGUGUUUCUCAGUCUAGGAAACGAGCAUUCACAUGGGCAACUUCUCUAGAAGAGACACUCCCAGAGUGGCCAGAGCCAAUGCACGUCUUUGCAAGCCCAACACUGAAAAUCACAUUACCAAGGGAUGUACAGUAUGCUGCCGUCAAGAGUACAGGUGGAGGGGCACCCUUCGGUGUAAUAACGGUGAGAGAUACAAUUGGAGAUUUCCCACCUGUUGGAAAUGGAGCAUCUAAAACAGAG